UGGGGAAUCUUCCGCAAUGGACGAAAGUCUGACGGAGCAACGCCGCGUGUAUGAUGAAGGUCUUCGGAUUGUAAAGUACUGUCAUUGGGGAAGAACGGUUUUCUUGAAAAGAUUGAGAAGACAUGACGGUACCCAAGGAGGAAGCCCCGGCUAACUACGUGCCAGCAGCCGCGGUAAUACGUAGGGGGGCAAGCGUUGUCCGGAAAUUAUUGGGCGUAAAAGGGCGCGUAGGCGGGCCUUUAAGUCCGGUGUGAAAGAUUCAGGGCUCAACCCUGAGAGUGCAUCGGAAACUGGAGGCCUUGAGGACAGGAGAGGAAAGUGGAAUUCCACGGUGUAGCGGUGAAAUGCGUAGAUAUGUGGAGGAACACCAGUGGCGAAGGCGACUUUCUGGACUGUAACUGACGCUG
rnacentral:rRNA from 1 species